AUUACCGAUUGGGUGUAUAGGUGAACCUUCCUGAUAGUCGCAAGAUUAGAAGUUAAGUAAACCUUUACACCUAGAGGAAAUAAAAGUCGUAACAAGGUU
rnacentral:rRNA from 1 species